AUUCCUGGUGUAGCGGUGAAAUGCGCAGAUAUCAGGAGGAACACCGAUGGCGAAGGCAGGUCUCUGGGCUGUAACUGACGCUGAGGAGCGAAAGCAUGGGUAGCGAACAGGAUUAGAUACCCUGGUAGUCCAUGCCGUAAACGUUGGGCACUAGGUGUGGGGGACAUUCCACGUUUUCCGCGCCGUAGCUAACGCAUUAAGUGCCCCGCCUGGGGAGUACGGCCGCAAGGCUAAAACUCAAAGGAAUUGACGGGGGCCCGCACAAGCGGCGGAGCAUGCGGAUUAAUUCGAUGCAACGCGAAGAACCUUACCAAGGCUUGACAUGGACUAGAUCGCCGCAGAGAUGCGGUUUCCCUUCGGGGCUGGUUCACAGGUGGUGCAUGGUUGUCGUCAGCUCGUGUCGUGAGAUGUUGGGUUAAGUCCCGCAACGAGCGCAACCCUCGUUCUAUGUUGCCAGCACGUUAUGGUGGGGACUCAUAGGAGACUGCCGGGGUCAACUCGGAGGAAGGUGGGGACGACGUCAAAUCAUCAUGCCCCUUAUGUCUUGGGCUUCACGCAUGCUACAAUGGCCGGUACAAAGGGUUGCGAUACUGUGAGGUGGAGCUAAUCCCAAAAAGCCGGUCUCAGUUCGGAUUGGGGUCUGCAACUCGACCCCAUGAAGUCGGAGUCGCUAGUAAUCGCAGAUCAGCAACGCUGCGGUGAAUACGUUCCCGGGCCUUGUACACACCGCCCGUCAAGUCACGAAAGUUGGUAACACCCGAAGCCGGUGGCCUAACCCCUUGUGGGAGGGAGCUGUCGA
rnacentral:rRNA from 1 species